GAUGAACGCUGGCGGCGUGCCUAAUACAUGCAAGUCGAGCGAACAGAUGAGGAGCUUGCUCCUCUGACGUUAGCGGCGGACGGGUGAGUAACACGUGGAUAACCUACCUAUAAGACUGGGAUAACUUCGGGAAACCGGAGCUAAUACCGGAUAAUAUUUUGAACCGCAUGGUUCAAUAGUGAAAGACGGUUUUGCUGUCACUUAUAGAUGGAUCCGCGCUGCAUUAGCUAGUUGGUAAGGUAACGGCUUACCAAGGCGACGAUGCGUAGCCGACCUGAGAGGGUGAUCGGCCACACUGGAACUGAGACACGGUCCAGACUCCUACGGGAGGCAGCAGUAGGGAAUCUUCCGCAAUGGGCGAAAGCCUGACGGAGCAACGCCGCGUGAGUGAUGAAGGUCUUCGGAUCGUAAAACUCUGUUAUUAGGGAAGAACAAAUGUGUAAGUAACUAUGCACGUCUUGACGGUACCUAAUCAGAAAGCCACGGCUAACUACGUG
rnacentral:rRNA from 1 species